rnacentral:rRNA from 1 species
UCAUACCUAUUCGAAGGGAUAGGGUCGGUUCGGCCGGAUUUCACACAGGUGUUGCAUGGCUGUCGUCAGCUCGUGUCGUGAGAUGUUGGGUUAAGUCCCGCAACGAGCGCAACCCUCAUCCUUAGUUACCAUCAGGUAAUGCUGGGGACUUUAAGGAAACUGCCAGUGAUAAACUGGAGGAAGGUGGGGAUGAUGUCAAGUCAUCAUGGCCCUUAUGGAGUGGGCUACACACGUGCUACAAUGGUGGCUACAAUGGGCUGCAAAGUCGCGAGGCUAAGCUAAUCCCUUAAAAGCCAUCUCAGUUCGGAUUGUACUCUGCAACUCGAGUACAUGAAGUUGGAAUCGCUAGUAAUCGUGGAUCAGCAUGCCACGGUGAAUACGUUCUCGGGUCUUGUACACACUGCCCGUCACGCCAUGGGAAUUGGUUUCACUCGAAGCA